rnacentral:rRNA from 1 species
UGGGGAAUUUUGGACAAUGGGCGAAAGCCUGAUCCAGCAAUGCCGCGUGCAGGACGAAGGCCUUCGGGUUGUAAACUGCUUUUGUACGGAACGAAAAGGUAGCUCCUAAUACUAGCUGCCGAUGACGGUACCGUAAGAAUAAGCACCGGCUAACUACGUGCCAGCAGCCGCGGUAAUACGUAGGGUGCGAGCGUUAAUCGGAAUUACUGGGCGUAAAGCGUGCGCAGGCGGUUUUGUAAGAUAGAUGUGAAAUCCCCGGGCUCAACCUGGGAACUGCAUAUAUGACUGCAAAGCUAGAGUACGGUAGAGGGGGAUGGAAUUCCGCGUGUAGCAGUGAAAUGCGUAGAUAUGCGGAGGAACACCGAUGGCGAAGGCAAUCCCCUGGACCUGUACUGACGCU